GUUUCCCAAAGGGCUCUACCGUGGGGGUUAGUGACUGAAGUGGGCUGGUCAAUCGGAAAGUCCUUUUCCCCUUGCUACGAGCUCGGAGAAAGCUCAGUACCCACAGCACGUCAGACAAACAACCCACCACCCCAGGCUCUCAGGCCCCGCUGAGCCUCACGGUCCGCCCAGGGACAAUCGCGCCCAGCUCUGCCGCUGAACCCAUGCAAGGCCUGGCUGGGCUGACGUAGGCUCCAGGCGAGAAAUUAUUUCACAACUGUCAAGAGGAAAGAGCGCGCCCACUCCGUCAUUUCUAGGAAGGCCGGGGCCUGCCAGGCUGCGGGGGCGGACGGGAAGGACCGCACACUCCCCAAAACAACUGCAAACCCAGGGACAACCCGCGCACGCGCAACGCUCUCUUGUCCCUGAGGUUGAGCGGCUCCCUCCGCCAGCUGCCGGAUCUAACUUGUGGGCCUUCUCGGCGCGCCGACUUCCGCGCCUGAGCGGCCGUGACGUAGCCGGUCUCCUCCUCUCGUCCUCCCGCGGCGCCGGUCUCUUGUGACGUCAGCAGCAGAAUCCUCUCAGUCGAUAUAGUGCUAAGUGAGGGGCGGGCCGGAUGGGCUGGUUGCCUGCUCCUCCCCCAACCUGAACUUGUUUUGUAAAGGAAACCUCUUGUAAUUUCCUAAGACUUUAGAUUAAGUCUUUAAACUGUUCCCGUUUCCUAAUAAGGGAGAAAACGGCCCUCACCCUAGUUCCAGCUCCUUCCAAGCUGAGAGUUCUGUUAGAAUGGUCUGCAAACAAAACCCACAAUAUCUCUGAGGUACAGCUGGAGGAGUCUGGACUGACUUGCCAAGAUGGGGCCUGUUGUGCUGCUGUGGUAUCCUCUGAUCACCUAGAAGAACCUUGAAGGUAGAGAAUCAUUCUUCCUCCUCAACAGUUGGCAUAGCCAGCAGGAUAAACUUUAGCUGGCUGGACACUGCUGCGGCUGAGAGAUUAUGGGACAUCUGACAAAAGCUGGCACAAGGGAAGAACCCUCAUCACCACAUCAGCCAACUGGAUCUCUGCCUGCCAGGUCUCGUGCAAGUGAGAGUGAUCUUUACUUUUAUUCAGUGCUUUCACAAGUGUUGCUACAAAAAUGCUUCAUCUUCAAGGAAACUCAUGAAAAACACUCUAGGAUACAGGUUUCUGAGAACUUUAAGAUCUUUAAGUAAAAAAUCCAGAGUUAGUGGAAAAACUGGAUUCAAACAAAACAAGAAUUCCACGACACAAUUGGAAACAUGGGCUAUAUCAUCAAGGCUUUGACGGGGAUGUCAUAUUUGAGGGAAACAUGCAUAGACUCAGAUAUAACCAAAUAGCUUUAAGGAACUGAAGUUGACUUAAUGGAGCUAAUAAAGCCCAUUGCAAAUAUCAGCCUGACACCUUGCUUACAGAGUAACUGGCAGCCUUACAAGAAUCAUUGAGAAUUAAAACAGACUUCUCUCCCUGAAGCCCUGCAAACUAACUAUGAAUGACUUGAUAUAAACUUCAGGAAAAUCAGCACAAUAGAUAACAUAAAGCUGUAUUUGAAGACGCUUCAAGCCUGACAUCUAUGCAAGUGGUUGCAGAUGGCCCCAGCUCCACACCCCUGGAGUGCCCUGCCUACAUGAGGCUGACAGACUGGGUCAGGCUAAGUAGGGACCUGGAACAGGUCAAGUGUUGGGAGCAGCUGGUGAUGGGAGAGGGCUACUGGGGACACAAGGAAUCUGCCUAAUUCCAAACCUUAACAUACAUAAGUGCACAUAUUCCUCCUGAAUGUAAAAUUGGAGGAAUCUGGACCAUAUUGCUAGGGCAGAGCUGGGAGGACUAGCUAGGGGUAUCCUUCAGUAACAGACAUUUGGGAGCCUUGAUUGUUCAACAUGUUCUGGACUUCAUCAGGCAUCCAGUCCAAAGGGGGGAUUACUGCUGCCUCAGAAAUAUUUUUGGAGGGAGGAUGUCUCUAUCCUGUGGCCAUUCACAGGGUUUUGGUGUGGCAAGAGUUCAACAGGCCUGGAGUGCCCCAGCCGCCCAAGACUGGCUGAUAAGGUGCAGACUGUGCAUGCUCGGGAGGUACAGUUCAGGGUAACCAGGGACCUGGAAUGGUACUGUCCGGCAAGGCUGGGUCACAGGAGGGGGCUAUUGGAGGUAACUGGCUUCUGCCUAAUUCCAAAUCCUAAUCUGUACACAUGUGCGUACUUCCCCUGAAGUCAGCGCUGGAGGAAUAUGGACCACCUUACGAGGGCUAAAUUGGGUGGCUUGCUAAGGAACUUCAAUAAGAAAUGCCUGGGACCCCAGCAAACAAUAUAGGAAAACCUUUCCUCAGCAAUUUGGUAAUUUAUACCUUUGUAAGCUCUGCCUGCCUGAUCACCCCAGAAUUUGGAAACUCUCAAAGAGAUUUGGCUAGCCAACCGACCUAGGAAGAGAUGCUCGACAUCAGAUAUCAUUAAGAAGACCCACAAGGAAACCCCAUGAGGUACUACCUCACACCAAGCACACUGGAUUUGAUCCACCAAUGAUAUCCACCAAAGGGAACCCUUGUUAUCUCCUGGUAGCUGAUAAAGAGAGAUACACUCCUGUACUGUAAAGGCCUAAUUGCUUCUAUUAAAAUAUCCAUGCUUGUGGUAGAGCAUUCUUUACAGAGUGCUCCCAGGAAAUGAAGACCUUAAACAUCACCUCUUGCAACCUGGGAACUUCAUCUAUUGGAAAAGACACCUCUAGAAAGACUCUCUUCCACUCCUUUGGAAAGACCCCAUCAGGUACUGUUAACCAACCCUUGUGCAACCAAACACCAAGGAAUAGAUACUUGGCUUCAUGUGUUACAUCUAAAGAAAGCACCAAUCCAUUCUGGACCUGCACACCAACUGGUGACUAAAAGUCAAGAUUUCCAGGAAUUGAAGCAAGUGAUACCUGAAGGAGACAGAUUUCCUAGAAUAAGAUGAUCAGACCUUUAUACCCUUUUCCCACUGCUCCUUCUUACUUUUUCCUCCUCUUUCUCUUGGGGAGGCAAUGCUCUUAUCCACAUUCCGUAGUCUAUUGCAAAAGGGGUAAACCUCUCUGACUGUUGGAUCUCUCACCAAGAAACUCCAGUGUUUACAAUGUGAGAAACCACUUGGUCUUACUUGUAACUAAUUUCUCUUUAGUCUCAAAUACUACUGCUGAUUUUACCUACAAGCCUAGGGGUGUUACUAAUGUGGGUAGGUUAAGACCAGGUGUUUCUAUUUCUUGUUUCAACCACUACUGAACUAAACAUUUCCACAAAAGUCAGUCAUACAACCCUUGCUCCUCUGUUUUUCCUUAUCUAAAUAUGAUCUGUUCCCCCACCCCCUAAGAAAAUACAUUGGAGCUUAUACCUUUCUGUGAGGCUUUUAGAAAAGACCUCUUCAUGAAGGGAUAAGUUCUUACAGAAUGUCAUCCCAACAUUCUGACCCAUGGCUUGGAAAGGUCAGAAAAUUCCAGCUAAUAAAUCUAUGAAUAACCA